rnacentral:rRNA from 1 species
CAGCCGCCGCGGUAAUACGAAGGGGGCUAGCGUUGUUCGGAAUUACUGGGCGUAAAGCGCACGUAGGCGGACAUUUAAGUCAGGGGUGAAAUCCCGGGGCUCAACCCCGGAACUGCCUUUGAUACUGGGUGUCUAGAGUAUGGAAGAGGUGAGUGGAAUUCCGAGUGUAGAGGUGAAAUUCGUAGAUAUUCGGAGGAACACCAGUGGCGAAGGCGGCUCACUGGUCCAUUACUGACGCUGAGGUGCGAAAGCGUGGGGAGCAAACAGGAUUAGAUACCCGUGUAGUCCCUGUCUCUUAUAC